rnacentral:rRNA from 1 species
AAUUUUCGGCAAUGGGGGCAACCCUGACCGAGCGACGCCGCGUUAGUGAAGAAGGUCUUCGUUUUGUAAAGCUCUGUUGUAAGGGAAUAACCGUAACAGUAGGGAAUGACUGGUACCUGAUGGUACAUUACCAGCAAGCCACGGCUGACUACGUGCUAGCAGACCGGGUAACAAGUAGGGGGAAAGCGUUAUACGGAAAUAUUGGGCGUAAAGGGAGCGCAGGCGGCUUAUUAAGUCUGAGGUUAAAGUUCGGGGCUCAACCCCGUGAUGCCUUAGAAGCUGGUAGGCUAGAGUGCAGGAGAGGUGAGUGGAAUUCCAUGUGUAGAGGUAAAAUGCGUAGAUAUAUGGAGGAACACCAGUGGCGAAGGCGGCUCACUGGCCUGUAACUGACGCUGAAGCUCGAAAGCGUGGGGAGCAAAUA